rnacentral:rRNA from 1 species
UAGUCUGGUGCCAGCAGCCGCGGUAAUUCCAGCUCCAAUAGCGUAUAUUUAAGUUGUUGCAGUUAAAAAGCUCGUAGUUGGAUUUCGGAUAGGGGGCGCCGGUCCGCUUCGGUGUGCACUGGCGGCCCAUAUCUUCUUGUCGGGGAUGCGUGCUGGUCUUCAUUGAUCGGCCGCAGAGUCGGCGCUGUUACUUUGAAAAAAUUAGAGUGUUCAAAGCAGGCUUUCGCUUGAAUACAUUAGCAUGGAAUAACAUGAUGGGACUUCGAUCCCAUUGUGUUGGUCUUCGGGACUGAAGUAAUGAUUAAGAGGGACAGUUGGGGGCAUUCGUAUUACAUUGCAAGAGGUGAAAUUCUUGGAUUUAUGUAAGACGAACUUCUGCGAAAGCAUUUGCCAAGGAUGUUUUCAUUAAUCAAGAACGAAAGUUGGGGGCUCGAAGAUGAUUAGAUACCAUCGUAGUCUCAACCAUAAACGAUGCCGACUAGGGAUUAGCGGAUGUUACUUGAUGACUUCGCUAGCACCUUGUGAGAAAUCAAAGUCUUUGGGUUCCGGGGGGAGUAUGGUCGCAAGGCUGAAACUUAAAGGAAUUGACGGAAGGGCACCACCAUGGCGUGGAGCCUGCGGCUUAAUUUGACUCAACACGGGGAAACUUACCAGGUCCGGACACAGCGAUGAUUGACAGAUUGAGAGCUCUUUCUUGAUUCUGUGGGUGGUGGUGCAUGGCCGUUCUU